UGAGCAAUCUGCCCUUCUCAUCGGAAUAAGCGUUGGAAACGACGUCUAAUGCCGAAUACGACCUCCUUUCGCAUGAUCGGAGGUGGAAAGCUCCGGCGGAGAAGGAUGAGCUCGCGGCCUAUCAGCUAGUUGGUGUGGGUAACGGCCCACCAAGGCGACGACGGGUAGCCGGCCUGAGAGGGUGACCGGCCGCACUGGGACUGAGACACGGCCCAGACUCCUACGGGAGGNAG
rnacentral:rRNA from 1 species